rnacentral:rRNA from 1 species
UAAGGAAUAUUGGUCAAUGGACGCAAGUCUGAACCAGCCAUGCCGCGUGAAGGAUGAAAGGUCCUCUGGAUUGUAAACUUCUUUUAUAGGGGGCGAAAAAAGGGAAAUCUUUCUCACUUGACAGUACCCUAUGAAUAAGCACCGGCUAACUCCGUGCCAGCAGCCGCGGUAAUACGGAGGGUGCAAGCGUUAUCCGGAUUCACUGGGUUUAAAGGGUGCGUAGGCGGGCGUAUAAGUCAGUGGUGAAAUCCUGGAGCUUAACUCCAGAACUGCCAUUGAUACUAUAUGUCUUGAAUAUGGUGGAGGUAAGCGGAAUAUGUCAUGUAGCGGUGAAAUGCAUAGAUAUGACAUAGAACACCUAUUGCGAAGGCAGCUUACUACGCCUAUAUUGACGCUGAGGCACGAAAGCGUGGGGAUCAAAACAGGAUUAGAUACCCUGGUAGUCCACGCCCUAAAACGAUGAUUACUCGACGUGUGCGAUAAACGGUACGCGUCUGAGCGAAAAGCUUAAAGUAAUCCACCUGGGGAAGUNCGACCGCAAGGUUGAAACUCAAAAGGAAUUGACGGGGUCAUAGCUGUUUCCUG